rnacentral:rRNA from 1 species
UACGAAGGGUGCAAGCGUUAAUCGGAAUUACUGGGCAUAAAGGGUGCGUAGGCGGUUCGUUAAGUCUGUCGUGAAAUCCCCGGGCUCAACCUGGGAAUGGCGAUGGAUACUGGCGAGCUAGAGUGUGUCAGAGGAUGGUGGAAUUCCCGGUGCAGCGGUGAAAUGCGUAGAGAUCGGGAGGAACAUCAGUGGCGAAGGCGGCCAUCUGGGACAACACUGACGCUGAAGCACGAAAGCGUGGGGAGCAAACAGG